CUGCCUCUGGAAUCCUGCCCUGUUUGAGUGCUUGUCCUGACUUCCUUCAGUGAUGAACAGCGAUGCUGAGGUGUAAGCAGCAUAAAGGUUUUCUUCCCCAACCUGCUCUUUGGUUGUGUUUUGUUGCAGCAGUAGAAACCCUGACUGAGACACUGACUUAGAUCCUCUGGAUAUGUUCCAGGCGAUGGAGAAAAGAGAAUUAUGAGUUCGUAUGGCUGCAGAGUCAGAAACACCAACUAGUUUCUAGCACCUUCUAUUCCUGCUGCUGCUGAUUCGUGGGGACAGAGCAGCCAUGUGGGUUUCCCACUUCCUUCUGGAGCACUGACGAACUGUGAAAUUUUCUACUCGCCGGGCGGUGGUGGUGCACGCCAUUAAUCCCAGCACUCGGGAGGCAGAGCCAGGCGGAUCUCUGUGAGUUCGAGGUCAGCCUGGGCUACCAAGUGGAACUUAAUAAAUCAGAAUGAAAAUGAGGCCAGGUCAAUGUGCCAAAGGGAUCUAAGAGGACUUGAGACUUGCUGGCUGCUGGCUGUGAGUCUGUUCGGAGGCAUGUCUGUGCUUCUGCGGUGGAGCACGGUGUGAGUGCAUACCUGCAUGUUUACGUCAUUUCCCAGCUAUAUUAGAAGGCAGCAAUAGUGCCAUGUGCUUUUAUUUUGUGCUCUGCAUUUUUCUACACGCUGUCCUGGUUAUGUAAAUUGGAAAUGGCCCACUAACCACUUUUGUCUUGGGGUACAGAAAGAAAGAUGGGCACAGGAUUUGCAAGGGACCGGUAAAGAACAGACGACUGAUCCCGUAGAGUGCUCUAACUGCCUCUGUCACUGUGCGGUGUAGUUAGCAUUCUAGAAAUAUAGGGGCA